rnacentral:rRNA from 1 species
GAUGAACGCUAGCGGGAGGCCUAACACAUGCAAGCCGAGCGGUAGAGAUUCUUCGGGAUCUUGAGAGCGGCGUACGGGUGCGGAACACGUGUGCAACCUGCCUUUAUCAGGGGGAUAGCCUUUCGAAAGGAAGAUUAAUACCCCAUAAUAUAUUGAUUGGCAUCAAUUAAUAUUGAAAACUCCGGUGGAUAGAGAUGGGCACGCGCAAGAUUAGAUAGUUGGUAGGGUAACGGCCUACCAAGUCAAUGAUCUUUAGGGGGCCUGAGAGGGUGAUCCCCCACACUGGUACUGAGACACGGACCAGACUCCUACGGGAGGCAGCAGUGAGGAAUAUUGGACAAUGGGUGAGAGCCUGAUCCAGCCAUCCCGCGUGAAGGACGACGGCCCUAUGGGUUGUAAACUUCUUUUGUAUAGGGAUAAACCUUUCCACGUGUGGAAAGUUGAAGGUACUAUACGAAUAAGCACCGGCUAACUCCGUGCCAGCCGCCGCAGUAA